GACGAACGCUGGCGGCGUGCCUAAUACAUGCAAGUCGAACGCUGAAGAGAGGAGCUUGCUCUUCUUGGAUGAGUUGCGAACGGGUGAGUAACGCGUAGGUAACCUGCCUUGUAGCGGGGGAUAACUAUUGGAAACGAUAGCUAAUACCGCAUAACAAUGGAUGACACAUGUCAUUUAUUUGAAAGGGGCAAUUGCUCCACUACAAGAUGGACCUGCGUUGUAUUAGCUAGUAGGUGAGGUAAUGGCUCACCUAGGCGACGAUACAUAGUCGACCUGAGAGGGUGAUCGGCCACACUGGGACUGAGACACGGCCCAGACUCCUACGGGAGGCAGCAGUAGGGAAUCCUCGGCAAUGGGGGCAACCCUGACCGAGCAACGCCGCGGGAGUGAAGAAGGUUGUCGGAUCGUAAAGCUCUGUUGUAAGUCAAGAACGGGUGUGAGAGUGGAAAGUUCACACUGUGACGGUAGCUUACCAGAAAGGGACGGCUAACUACGUG
rnacentral:rRNA from 1 species